rnacentral:rRNA from 1 species
AUAGAUACCCCGGUAGUCCAUGCCGUAAACGUUGGGAACUAGAUGUAGGGUCCAUUCCACGGAUUCUGUGUCGCAGCUAACGCAUUAAGUUCCCCGCCUGGGGAGUACGGCCGCAGGGCUAAAACUCAAAGGAAUUGACGGGGGCCCGCACAAGCGGCGGAGCAUGCGGAUUAAUUCGAUGCAACGCGAAGAACCUUACCAAGGCUUGACAUAUACCGGAAACGGCUGGAAACAGUCGCCCCGCAAGGUCGGUAUACAGGUGGUGCAUGGUUGUCGUCAGCUCGUGUCGUGAGAUGUUGGGUUAAGUCCCGCAACGAGCGCAACCCUCGUUCUUUGUUGCCAGCACGUCAUGGUGGGAACUCAAAGGAGACUGCCGGGGUCAACUCGGAGGAAGUGGGGAUGACGCCGAAAUCAUCAUGCCCCUUAUGUCUUGGGCUUCACGCAUGCUACAAUGGCCGGUACAAAGGGCUGCAAUACCGUAAGGUGGAGCGAAUCCCAAAAAGCCGGUCUCAGUUCGGAUUGAGGUCUGCAACUCGACCUC